ACUGCUUCUCGGCCUUUUGGCUAAGAUCAAGUGUAGUAUCUGUUCUUACCAUUAUAAUAUCUGAUAUGCCCUCAAUUUAUAUAUAUUUUAUAUGUAUAUAUGCCCUCGACUUUAUAUUAGGAUUUUUGGAACUGGGAGUUGGAGCCAGAGCUUGCUCGCUUUUUUUGGACUUGAU
rnacentral:snRNA from 1 species